GCUGGGCGUGGUGGUGUGUGCCUGUAGUCCCAGCUACUUGGGAGGCUGAGGCAGGAGGAUUGCUUGAGCCCAGGAGAUUGAGGCUGCAGUGAGCCAUGAUAGUGCCACUACACUCCAACUUGGGCAACAGAGCAAGACCCUAUCUCUA
ensembl:misc_RNA Metazoa_SRP Metazoan signal recognition particle RNA